rnacentral:rRNA from 1 species
UACGGAGGGGGCGAGCGUUAAUCGGAAUUACUGGGCGUAAAGGGUGCGUAGGUGGUUUGAUAAGUUAUCUGUGAAAGCCCUGGGCUCAACCUGGGAAGGCCAGAUAAGACUGUUAGACUCGAGUAUAGUAGAGGGUAGUGGAAUUUCCGGUGUAGCGGUGAAAUGCGUAGAGAUCGGAAGGAACACCAGUGGCGAAGGCGGCUACCUGGGCUAAUACUGACACUGAGGCACGAAAGCGUGGGGAGCAAACAGG